AUUGAACGCUGGCGGCAUGCCUAACACAUGCAAGUCGAGCGGAUAAAGGGAGCUGGCUCCUGGCUUCUGCGGCGGACGGGUGAGUUAUACCGAGGAAUCUGCCUGGGAGGGGGGGAUAACGUCCGAAGCUGGCGCUAUAACCCCAUACGUCCUGAGGGAAAAAGGGGGGGAUCUCCGGCCCUGCCCCUAUCAGACGAGCCUAGGUCGGAUUAGCUAGUUGGUGGGGUAAAGGCUUACCAAGGCGACGAUCCGUAACUGGUCUGAGAGGAUGAUCAGUCACACUGGAACUGAGACACGGUCCAGACUCCUACGGGAGGCAGCAGUGGGGAAUAUUGGACAAUGGGCGAAAGCCUGAUCCAGCCAUGCCGCGUGUGUGAAGAAGGUCUUCGGAUUGUAAAGCGCUUUUAGUUGGGAGGAAGAGCAGUAAGUUAAUACCGUGCUGUUUUGACGUUACCGAAAGAAUAAGCACCGGCUAACUACGUG
rnacentral:rRNA from 1 species